AAGGAUCAUUAAUGAAAUACUAGGAUGCUCUUUUUAGAGGUCCGAACCAUUUUAUUCCACACACCGUGCACACACACUGUUUUUACACCCCAUUUUAUAACACUAUGUAUUGAAUGUAUAAAAGUCUCUUAAUUGAGCAUAAAAUUAAUAUUAAAAUUUUCGGCAACGGAUCUCUUGGCUCUCGCAUCGAUGAAGAACGCAGCGAAAUGCGAUACGUAAUGUGAAUUGCAGAAUUCAGUGAAUCAUCGAAUCUUUGAACGCACCUUGCACUCUUUGGUAUUCCGAAGAGUAUGCCUGUUUGAGUGUCAUGAAACUCUCAACCCCCUUAUUUUGUAAUGAGAUAAGAGUUAGGGCUUGGAUUAUGGCUGCUUGCCGGAUCUUUAAGUAGAACCAGCUCGGCUGAAAUACAUGAGCAGCGCUUCUUUAAACUAAGGCGGCUUGACUCGGCGUAAUAGCUUAUUCGCUGAGGACGCUUGUUUAAUAACUAGUUGCUUCUAAAUCAAUCUAUACUUUAAGCUUUAGACCUCAAAUCAGUCAGGAUUACCCGCUGAACUUAAGCAUAUCAAUAAGCGGAGGAAAAGAAACUAACAAGGAUUCCCCUAGUAACGGCGAGUGAAGUGGGAAAAGCUCAACUUUGAAAUCUGGCUGCUUUGCAGUCCGAGUUGUAGUCUCGAGAAGUGUUUUCCGCGUUAAACCGUGUAUGAGUCUGCUGGAACACAGCGUCAUAGAGGGUGAGAACCCCGUUCAUGACACGGCUUUUAAUGCUUUGUGAUACACUUUCGAUGAGUCGAGUUGUUUGGGAAUGCAGCUCAAAUUGGGUGGUAAAUUCCAUCUAAAGCUAAAUAUUGGCGAGAGACCGAUAGCAAACAAGUACCGUGAGGGAAAGAUGAAAAGCACUUUGGAAAGAGAGUUAAAAGUACGCGAAAUUGUCGAAAAGGAAACAGUUGAAGUCAGACGUGUAUGGUCUCACGACCUUUACAGGCCAACAUCGGUUUUGCAAGUCGGAUAAAAGUUAAGGGAAGGUAGCAGUCUCGGCUGUGUUAUAGCCCUUUACCGAAUACGGAUUGCGAGACCGAGGGACGCAGCGCGCCGCAAGGCAAAGGAUUCGUCCUUUACGCGCUUAGGAUGUUGGUGAAAUGGCUUUAAAUGACC
rnacentral:rRNA from 1 species